rnacentral:rRNA from 1 species
GGCCGCGGGAAUUCGAUUACUGCUCAGUAACACGUGGAUAACCUGCCCUUGGGUCUGGGAUAACCCCGGGAAACUGGGGAUAAUACCGGAUAACGCAUAUGUGCUGGAAUGCUUUAUGCGUAAAACGGAUUCGUCCGCCCAAGGAUGGGUCUGCGGCCUAUCAGGUAGUAGUGGGUGUAAUGUACCUACUAGCCAACAACGGGUACGGGUUGUGAGAGCAAGAGCCCGGAGAUGGAUUCUGAGACAUGAAUCCAGGCCCUACGGGGCGCAGCAGGCGCGAAAACUUUACAAUGCGGGAAACCGUGAUAAGGGAACACCGAGUGCCAGCAUCAUAUGCUGGCUGUCCAGAUGUGUAAACUACAUCUGUUAGCAAGGGCCGGGCAAGACCGGUGCCAGCCGCCGCGGUAACACCGGCGGCCCGAGUGGUGACCGUUAUUAUUGGGUCUAAAGGGUCCGUAGCCGGUUUGGUCAGUCCUCCGGGAAAUCUGAUAGCUUAACUGUUAGGCUUUCGGGGGAUACUGCCAGGCUUGGAACCGGGAGAGGUAAGAGGUACUACAGGGGUAGGAGUGAAAUCUUGUAAUCCCUGUGAGACCACCUGUGGCGAAGGCGUCUUACCAGAACGGGUUCGACGGUGAGGGACGAAAGCUGGGGGCACGAACCGGAUUAGAUACCCCGGGUAGUCCCAGCCGUAAACUAUGCUCGCUAGGUGUCAGGCAUGGCGCGACCGUGUCUGGUGCCGCAGGGAAGCCGUGAAGCGAGCCCCUUGGGAAGUACGGCCGCAAGGCUGAAACUUAAAGGAAUUGGCGGGGGAGCACGACACCNGGUGG